UCAGAGGCAACAGAGAUUCGCACCAAUAGUCCAGGCAUGACCAGUGGCUUUUCAGGCCUUCAUUCUUCCCUCCUGGUGGCAGUCCUCCAGCUUGCGUUCUGGCUCGGGUUCCAGCCAUCCUGAUCCGUCCUUGCCAGCUCCCUCCCUCGGUUUGGAGCUCUGCCAAUCAG